AACGAACGCUGGCGGCAGGCUUAACACAUGCAAGUCGAACGCAUCCUUCGGGGUGAGUGGCAGACGGGUGAGUAACACGUGGGAACGUACCUUUCGGUUCGGGAUAACCCAGGGAAACUUGGGCUAAUACCGGAUACGUCCUUUCGGGGAGAAAGAUUGAUUUGCCGAGAGAUCGGCCCGCGUCUGAUUAGCUAGUUGGUGGGGUAAUGGCCCACCAAGGCGACGAUCAGUAGCUGGUCUGAGAGGAUGAUCAGCCACACUGGGACUGAGACACGGCCCAGACUCCUACGGGAGGCAGCAGUGGGGAAUUUUGGUACAAUGGGCGCAAGCCUGAUCCAGCCAUGCCGCGU
rnacentral:rRNA from 1 species